AUAAUCGAGAAGGCAGAGCAAAUAAUCUGCCUUCCUACGCGGUCAAAGUCUUGGGAGGAUGCGAUCUAGGCGCGAUUACUACGCUGCCGCCGAAAAACGGAAAGCAGAUCGGACGCGUUAAAUUGCAAGGCCUCGUGCCUUGCAUUUUUUU
rnacentral:sRNA from 1 species